CCCAACAAGAAAACACAAGCCAAAAAUAAAUAAAAUUAAAGUAAAAUUAAAAAAAAAAAACAAAUUUAAACAAAAAAAUAAUAGUAUUAAAAACAAAAAACAAUUCUCUCUUUCUCUCUCUCUCUCGCUUAAUUGUCUGUAUGCAGGGUUAAAGGUGUUGCCACAACGUCGUAUACAACCACCACCACCACCAGCACAACUACAACGACGACAGCGACGAAGACCAACACGACUACUAAGGCCAAGGCUGUUAAAAGAGAAACUACAAUUGCUCUGCAACAACAAAGUCGUCGUCUACUUUAGCCACCACUAGUAGUAGCAUUUUGAAAAUUACCUUAAAAAGGCUUAAUUGUACUAAAACUAUCACUGGGUUUUGGUCUACUUCUAUUUUAAGAAUACGGACCCUUUUUAACUAGAGCGUUGUUUGUGAAAAAAUGGCUUUUUUGAAAUGCUUUUUACUUACUACUACUACUACUACUCUACUGCGAAUUGCUAACAAAUCGAGCUUUUAUUGUCACUCUCUCUAAUCCAUAUUUUUUUGUUUUGUUCUCAAGGCAGUAGUAGCUUCUUAUUUUGGACAAAAAAUUUAAACAAAAAAUUGGAGUUAAGUGGUGGCUAUUUACAAAAAAAAUUUUAAAAAAAUGUAUGUGGUAAAUGAAAAUAAAGUUAUGAAUUAAAAAGUGUGGAUAGAUCGUUGGGACUGGUUUAAAAACUGUUCUGAAAAUGUUAAAGAAAUUAGUAACGGACGUUCACCUUUGCUACAGGAGCCACUAUAUGGAAAUCGUCAUCAGCAAUACAGUAAGUAGUAGUAUUUUAACCAAAAACUCUAAUAGAUAUUACCUAGCAAUAGUUUUUGUUUUUAAAUCAUUAAGAUAAUUUAACUUAAAUAAUAACUCUCAAUAGGUUCUCAUUAAGAAAAAUUCUUUAGCUUGUUGUCACUUAUCAAAAACAACAACAACAGGUUUAAUAUUUAGUUAAACUAUGUACUUAGAAAACACGUGAGAUAAACAAAACUCCUUAAAAUAAACUUUCUACUUCAUUUGCCUUUAUAUCAACUACUUUUUCUCUCCUCUCUCUCUGUCUAUUACACUAACUCCUUAUAUAUACUUAACUGUUACAUCUUGACUUUAAUUAAAGCGUUUUUAUUUCUUUAUUUUUUUGUCUCCUUUAAGUGUAUUUAAGCACUUGAGCUGUAUACACUUAAGCAAUAAAAGAUGGGUGAGUAAAUGUGUGUGUCUCACCUGUGAGUCUUCCUUUACUUGCAUAAAUUACAAAAUAUUUGCUUGUUCCUCUCUCUACCUCUUCUUCCCCUUUACAGGCAAAGUUUCUUUUGCUAACUUUAGUUGAAAAACAAAAUUUGUUGCAGCAGCAUCUGUUGUUGUCUGUUAUCUACUUGAAUUAUUUGUUCUAAAGACUGAGAAGAGUGUUGAAUUGCAUAGAAAAGUUGUGAAAAAGAAAGAAAAGAAAACCUUUGACAUACUUUCAUUUAUUGCUCAAUAUUUAUGCAAGUAAUUCAUUAGUUUUAAGGAAAUGAAAGUUGUAGGUGGUUGUGGGAGGAGGCAGUUGUUAAAUAUGUUUUACUUUCCUUUUUCAUUUUGUAGGA